GACGAACGCUGGCGGCGUGCUUAACACAUGCAAGUCGAACGAAGAGCGACGGAAGCUUGCUUCUAUCAAUCUUAGUGGCGAACGGGUGAGUAACGCGUAAUCAACCUGCCCUUCAGAGGGGGACAACAGUUGGAAACGACUGCUAAUACCGCAUACGAUCUAACCUCGGCAUCGAGGAUAGAUGAAAGGUGGCCUCUACAUGUAAGCUAUCACUGAAGGAGGGGAUUGCGUCUGAUUAGCUAGUUGGAGGGGUAACGGCCAACCAAGGCGAUGAUCAGUAGCCGGUCGGAGAGGAUGAACGGCCACAUUGGGACUGAGACACGGCCCAGACUCCUACGGGAGGCAGCAGUGGGGAAUCUUCCGCAAUGGACGAAAGUCUGACGGAGCAACGCCGCGUGAGUGAUGACGGCCUUCGGGUUGUAAAGCUCUGUUAAUCGGGACGAAAGGCCUUCUUGCGAAUAGUGAGAAGGAUUGACGGUACCGGAAUAGAAAGCCACGGCUAACUACGUG
rnacentral:rRNA from 1 species